GGAGCGGUAGUUCAGCUGGUUAGAACGCCACACUGUCACUGUGGAGGUCACGGGUUCGAUUCCCGUCCGUUCCGCCA
rnacentral:tRNA from 2 species